AGUGAACGCUGGCGGUAGGCCUAACACACGCAAGUCGAACGGCAGCACAGUAAGAGCUUGCUCUUACGGGUGGCGAGUGGCGGACGGGUGAGGAAUACAUCGGAAUCUACUUUUUCGUGGGGGAUAACGUAGGGAAACUUACGCUAAUACCGCAUACGACCUACGGGUGAAAGCAGGGGAUCUUCGGACCUUGCGCGAUUGAAUGAGCCGAUGUCGGAUUAGCUAGUUGGCGGGGUAAAGGCCCACCAAGGCGACGAUCCGUAGCUGGUCUGAGAGGAUGAUCAGCCACACUGGAACUGAGACACGGUCCAGACUCCUACGGGAGGCAGCAGUGGGGAAUAUUGGACAAUGGGCGCAAGCCUGAUCCAGCCAUACCGCGUGGGUGAAGAAGGCCUUCGGGUUGUAAGGCCCUUUUGUUGGGAAAGAAAAGCAGCAGGUUAAUACCCCGCUGUUCUGACGGUACCCAAAGAAUAAGCACCGGCUAACUUCGUG
rnacentral:rRNA from 1 species